UACGUAGGUGGCAAGCGUUUGUCCGGAUUUAUUGGGUUUAAAGGGUGCGUAGGUGGUCUAUUAAGUCAGUGCUGAAAUAUCCCGGCUUAACCGGGAGGGUGGCAUUGAUACUGAUGGACUUGAGUGGAGUUGAGGUAGGCGGAAUUGACGGUGUAGCGGUGAAAUGCUUAGAUAUCGUCAAGAACACCGAUAGCGAAGGCAGCUUACCAAGCUCUAACUGACACUGAUGCACGAAAGUGUGGGGAUCAAACAGG
rnacentral:rRNA from 1 species